AUUGAACGCUGGCGGAAUGCUUUACACAUGCAAGUCGAACGGCAGCACGGGUGCUUGCACCUGGUGGCGAGUGGCGAACGGGUGAGUAAUACAUCGGAACGUACCCAGUUGUGGGGGAUAACUAACCGAAAGGUUAGCUAAUACCGCAUACGACCUGAGGGUGAACGCGGGGGACCGUAAGGCCUCGCGCAAUUGGAGCGGCCGAUGUCUGAUUAGCUAGUUGGUAGGGUAAAGGCCUACCAAGGCGACGAGCAGUAGCUGGUCUGAGAGGAUGAGCAGCCACACAGGAACAGAGACACGGACCAGACUCCUACGAGAGGCAGCAGUUGGAAAUUUUGGACAAUGUGCGAAAGCCUGAUCCAUCCAUUCCGCGUGAGUGAAGAAGGCCUUCGGGUUGUAAAGCUCUGUCGGCAGGGAAGAAACGGCCUAGGUUAAUACCUUGGGCUAAUGACGGUACCUGAAGAAGAAGCACCGGCCAACUACGUGCCAGCCGCCGCGGUAA
rnacentral:rRNA from 1 species